AUACGGAGGAUCCGAGCGUUAUCCGGAUUUAUUGGGUUUAAAGGGUGCGCAGGCGGGAGAUUAAGUCGGCGGUGAAAUUUUGCAGCUCAACUGUAAAAGUGCCUUCGAAACUGGUUUUCUUGAGUAUGGAUGAAGUAGGCGGAAUUUGUGGUGUAGCGGUGAAAUGCAUAGAUAUCACGAGGAACUCCGGUUGCGCAGGCAGCUUACUAAGCCAUAACUGACGCUCAUGCACGAAGGCGUGGGGAUCAAACAGGAUUAGAUACCCUGGUAGUCCACGCAGUAAACGAUGAUUACUCGCUGUUUGAGAUACAAUGUAAGCGGCUAAGCGAAAGCAUUAAGUAAUCCACCUGGGGAGUACGUUCGCAAGAAUGAAACUCAAAUGAAUUGACGGGG
rnacentral:rRNA from 1 species